rnacentral:rRNA from 1 species
CCUGGUGGCUAUAGCGCGGGGGUAACACCUCUUCUCAUUUCGAACAGAGAAGUUAAGUCCCGCAGCGCCGAUGGUACUGGCCGUUGGCCGGUAGAGUAGGACGUUGCCAGGA